rnacentral:tRNA from 1 species
UUUGUAGCUCAGCUGGCUAGAGCAGCUGAUUUGUAAUCAGCAGGUCGUGGGUUCGAGUCCCUCCAA